rnacentral:rRNA from 1 species
GCGGAUCUCGAAAGCCUGUCCCAGUUCGGACUGGAGUCUGCAACCCGACUACAUGAAGCUGGAAUCGCUAGUAAUCGCGGAUCAGAAUGCCGCGGUGAAUACGUUCCCGGGUCUUGUACACACCGCCCGUCACACCAUGGGAGUCGGAAAUGCCCGAAGUCUGUGACCCAACCUACGGGAGGGAGCAGCCGAAGGCAGGUCGGAUGACUGGGGUGAAGUCGUAACAAGGUAUC